rnacentral:rRNA from 1 species
UACGAAGGGUGCUAGCGUUGUUCGGAAUCAUUGGGCGUAAAGCGUACGUAGGCGGCUUAGUAAGUCGAUUGUGAAAGCCCCAAGCUCAACUUGGGAAUUGCAACCGAUACUGCUUUGCUAGAGUUUGGUGGGGGAUAGUGGAAUUCCUAGUGUAGGGGUGAAAUCCGUAGAUAUUAGGAGGAACACCAGUGGCGAAGGCGACUAUCUACGCCAAUACUGACGCUAAGGUACGAAAGCGUGGGGAGCAAACAGG